rnacentral:lncRNA from 1 species
CUGACUUUCAAUAGAUCGCAGCGAGGGAGCUGCUCUGCUACGUACGAAACCCCGACCCAGAAGCAAGUCGUCUACGAAUGGUUUAGCGCCAGGUUCCCCACGAACGUGCGUUGCGUGACGGGCGAGAGGGCGGCCGCCUUUCCGGCCGCGCCCCGUUUCCCAGGACAAAGGGCACUCCGCACCGGACCCUGGUCCCAGCGCGGGGCGGGGCGGCCCGCCGGCGGGGACCGGCUAUCCGAGGCCGACCGAGGCCGACCGAGGCCAUCCGAGGCCGACCGAGGCCAACCGAGGCGCCGCGGGGCUGCCGUAUCGUUCCGCCUGGGCGGGAUUCUGACUUAAGAGGCGUUCAGUCAUAAUCCCACAGAUGGUAGCUUCGCCCCAUUGGCUCCUCAGC